UCCAAAAACAUCUGGGGCCCCCAAAUUGAGAACCACUGUACUAUCUCAUCUUGGAAGCUAAGUAAGAUUGUCCCUGGUUAGGAUCUGGAUGGGAGACCAUCCAUGACUACAAGGUGUUUCAGGAA
rnacentral:rRNA from 11 species